rnacentral:rRNA from 1 species
AUACGGAGGGUGCAAGCGUUACUCGGAAUCACUGGGCGUAAAGCGCGCGCAGGCGGGCUGAUAAGUUGGAUGUGAAAGCCUACGGCUCAACCGUAGAACUGCAUCCAAAACUGUCAGUCUAGAGUCUGGGAGGGGAAGAUGGAAUUAGUUGUGUAGGGGUAAAAUCCGUAGAGAUAACUAGGAAUACCAAAAGCGAAGGCGAUCUCCUGGAACAGUACUGACGCUGAGGCGCGAAAGCGUGGGGAGCAAACAGGAUUAGAUACCCUAGUAGUCC